AUCUGCUGGGGGAGCAGCGAGGGAACCAACCCAACGGGUAUAUAGACUUUAGCUACGACCACGAGUCUUUGCCAGGCUACGAGGGCUACAAGACAAUCGUUAUCAACAUUAAAUUCCCCGACGGGAUUCAACAGGAGGACCACCCCCAUCCAGGUUAUCCAUACAAAGGCACCAGGCGUACGGCUUUCUUACCUGAUACCGCUGAGGGCCGUGAAGUCAAAGAGCUUUUAAGGAGGGCAUUCGCCGCCAAACUCCUGUUCACUGUGGGCCGGUCUGUCACCACUGGGAAAGACGACACCGUGGUAUGGAAUGAUGUACACUUUAAGACGAAUCGUACUGGAGGACCACAGAGGUAUGGUUAUCCAGACCCAACUUAUUUGUCAAGGGUAAAAGAAGAACUGGCUGCUAAGGGGAUAAAGUAACGGAAGAAUCCAAAGUACGCAUCUUUAGAGCAAAAAUAUAUCUUAAUGAAAUUCCGUAAUUGACUGAAACUGGCCUUGCACGAAAUGGAUAUAAACAGUGGUUCAUGUAUUAUUAUGUGUGUGAUUAAUUCUUUCAAACAGAGCCUUUUAGUAGACCUAUUUUAAUUUCAGCAAGUGGAUUUUUGUAUCUUGAAAUUACAGUUUUAACAAAAGUUGAGAGGACAUAUUUGGGCUGUUGAGAAGCUUCGACAGAGUUCUAGGGUUUUUCUUGAUUUUGAUUAUUUAUUGUUGUUGACGUAAUUAAAAUUGGAUAAAAUAUUUACCCCUUCCCAACUCCAUAAGUUGCUCCUGAAUUUGCAUCCUUCUGUGUUCAAUAAAUGGCAUAGUCAGUAUUUCUUCCCGUUUGAAAAUACAGCAGUUUUAACUGACAACCGAUUAAAUAUGUCACAUAAAAACGUAUUAACUAAAAACCUGUGAAAUAGAUGAUUAUAAGCAAAUUGAGAUCUAAAAUUAGGAUGGAAACUGUGUACAUGAGAGUUAUACUGCGUAAGUUUUGGUACAUGUACAAAUCAAUCAAAUUAUUUUUAAGUUACGAAAUAUAAUUUUAUCUGCCAAGAUAAGUGUCCAGAUUGAAAUAGACCAAUGUAAACUGCUACGAAGCACUGCAACCAAUAAUUUUAUUAGGUACAUUUUGUUAAUUGUGAUGCGUCGUAUUUAUCAAUUAUAGUCUGGAUGACUGGUG